AACUCUGACAGAUUGGGGAGGGGAGUGAUAGUGGUCAUGUAAUAUUGAUUUAUUUAUAAUGUAUUAUUAUUAUUGUGAAAUUAGUGUUCAUAAAUUAGUAAUGUAUGGUCUUUCAACAAUUUCAAGUGAAUAAUAUAACAAUUUACGGAAAAUAUUGUUAAAGCUUGUGUCAUGUGGUGCCCCCCCCACUGGUUGUGAAUGGUUGGUGCCCCUGGGCAGUGGCCCAAGUGCCCUUAUGGAUAAUCCGGGCAUGAUCCCAUGUAGAAUUCUAA